rnacentral:rRNA from 1 species
CCGCCGGCGACCGGCGCACGGGUGGGUAACACGUAUGCAACCUGGCCGUGACAGAUGGAUAACCGGGAGAAAUCCCGCCUAAUACAACAUAAUGCCGGGAGGGGACAUCCCCUGCCGGCCAAAGGGGGCGACCCCGGUCACGGAUGGGCAUGCGGCGCAUUAGGUAGUUGGUGGGGCAACGGCCCACCAAGCCGACGAUGCGUAGGGGUUCUGAGAGGAAGGUCCCCCACAUUGGAACUGAGACACGGUCCAAACUCCUACGGAAGGCAGCAG